GAAGGUCUCCAGAUGUGACCGUGGGACCUUCUCAUGUAGGAUGAAAAACACCGUGAUUGCAUUAUUCUCUAAUCAUGGAGACCCUUACUGAUACUUAUGGACUAAGGAGCAAAAAGAUUGAUGGUGAACAUUGGAGAGCUGAUAUGGUCAUUUAAUAAAGAACUGUUACCCACGUAGGGAGCAUGGACAGGAACAAUGAACGCCCUGAACCCAAUUUAAUUAUUAUCUUCUGGUGAAAGUAUUUCCUUUCAUCUGUAUGGGGAAGGAGAGAAGAGGUCAAUAAUGAGCACACCAUGGUGGAUGUAGACAUUCUCCAAAGACGACGAC